AGCAUUGCCGGCAGCGAGGUGAUCCGGGAGCUUCCAGCCCCCAUCCCCGGCCGCGGGAGACCAGGGCUCCGCUUUGGCUCCGCGGAUGGUGGCGGCGGGUGAAGGGAGGCCACAAGGCUGGGCAGGGCCUGAGGAGCGGGGUGGGAGCGUUUCUUCUGGGGCUGCAGUGAGAUCGGUUGGUGCGGGUUUUUUUUGGCCGUGAGCUUUUGAAAUGACGUGUGGUCUCCUUGGAAGGAAGCCAUGCAAUUCCUGAGGCAGGGCCUGAGGAGCGGGGUGGGAGCGUUUCUUCUGGGGCUGCAGUGAGAUCGGUUGGUGCGGGUUUUUUUUGGCCGUGAGCUUUUGAAAUGACGUGUGGUCUCCUUGGAAGGAAGCCAUGCAAUUCCUGAAAACGUACCUUGCAGUGUUCAUUUUGGUGUUCGAGUGUGCCGUGUCCGAGCAGUGCACGAAGCCCACUGCUGGAUCGCGUGGCUCACACUUACUCUGCUGAGCGCGGAUUUUCUUCCAUUUGUGUGUGAUGAUUGUUCAGGAAUAUUUUGCCUUGAACACAGAAGCAGGGAGUCUCAUGGUUGUCCU
rnacentral:lncRNA from 1 species